rnacentral:rRNA from 1 species
AACGCGCCACCGAAACUAAGGAACCGAAAGGUUGGUAGAGGAGCAUUGCAUGCGGGAAGAAGCAGUACCGUAAGGAGCUGUGGACUGCAUGGAAGAGAGAAUGCCGGAAUGAGUAGCGAGAAUAAGGUGAGAAUCCUUAUGGCCGAAUAUCCAAGGUUUCCAGAGUAAAGCUGAUCUGCUCUGGGUAAGUCGGGGCCUAAGGCGAGGACGAGAGUCGUAGCCGAUGGACAACAGGUGGAGAUUCCUGUACUGCGGUAUGACAGAACUGUGGGGACACGUAAGGAAAGCGGAAGCCGGGAAUGGAAAGCCCGGUGCAAGCGGGGUACCAGUCACUUUGGCAAAUCCGGGUGGCAAUGGGAAGCCGUGAUGCGGAGUGAAAUAAAGUAACGAAGUCCGUGAGCCAUGCGUCAAGAAAAGCCGCUAUUGUUUAUACCGUACCCGUACCGUAAACCGACACAGGUGGAUGAGGAGAGAAUCCUAAGGCCGGCGGAAGAAGCAUUGUCAAGGAACUCGGCAAAAUGACCCCGUAACUUCGGGAGAAGGGGUGCCUGCGAGAGCAGGCCGCAGAGAAUAGGCUCAAGCAACUGUUUAGCAAAAACACAGGUCUAUGCGAAACCGAAAGGUGAGGUAUAUGGGCUGACGCCUGCCCGGUGCUGGAAGGUUAAGAGGAGAGGUUAGCGGUAACGCGAAGCUUUGAAUUUAAGCCCCAGUAAACGGCGGCCGUAACUAUAACGGUCCUAAGGUAGCGAAAUUCCUUGUCGGGUAAGUUCCGACCCGCACGAAAGGCGUAAUGAUUUGAGCGCUGUCUCGACAAUGCAUCCGGUGAAAUUGAAGUACCAGUGAAGAUGCUGGUUACCUGCGCCAGGACGGAAAGACCCCAUGGAGCUUUACUCCAGUCUGGUACUGGGACUCGGUAUUGCAUGUACAGGAUAGGUGGGAGGCUGAGAAAUGGUAACGCCAGUUGCCAUGGAGCCGCUGUUGGGAUACCACCCUUGCAGUAUUGGGUUUCUAACCAGCCGCCGUGACCCGGCGGUGGGACAAUGCCAGACGGGGAGUUUGACUGGGGCGGUCGCCUCCGAAAGGGUAUCGGAGGCGCCCAAAGGUUCCCUCAGAAUGGACGGAAACCAUUCGAAGAGUGCAAAGGCAGAAGGG